GCAGUCGAGCGGUAACACAGGGAGCUUGCUCCUGGGUGACGAGCGGCGGACGGGUGAGUAAUGUCUGGGAAACUGCCUGAUGGAGGGGGAUAACUACUGGAAACGGUAGCUAAUACCGCAUAACGUCGCAAGACCAAAGAGGGGGACCUUCGGGCCUCUUGCCAUCAGAUGUGCCCAGAUGGGAUUAGCUAGUAGGUGGGGUAAUGGCUCACCUAGGCGACGAUCCCUAGCUGGUCUGAGAGGAUGACCAGCCACACUGGAACUGAGACACGGUCCAGACUCCUACGGGAGGCAGCAGUGGGGAAUAUUGCACAAUGGGCGCAAGCCUGAUGCAGCCAUGCCGCGUGUAUGAAGAAGGCCUUCGGGUUGUAAAGUACUUUCAGCGAGGAGGAAGGCAUUAAGGUUAAUAACCUUGGUGAUUGACGUUACUCGCAGAAGAAGCACCGGCUAACUCCGUGCCAGCAGCCGCGGUAAUACGGAGGGUGCAAGCGUUAAUCGGAAUUACUGGGCGUAAAGCGCACGCAGGCGGUCUGUCAAGUCGGAUGUGAAA
rnacentral:rRNA from 1 species